rnacentral:rRNA from 1 species
GUGAGGAAUAUUGGUCAAUGGGCGAGAGCCUGAACCAGCCAAGUAGCGUGAAGGAUGAAGGUCCUACGGAUUGUAAACUUCUUUUAUACGGGAAUAAAGUAUCCUACGUGUAGGAUUUUGUAUGUACCGUAUGAAUAAGCAUCGGCUAACUCCGUGCCAGCAGCCGCGGUAAUACGGAGGAUGCGAGCGUUAUCCGGAUUUAUUGGGUUUAAAGGGAGCGCAGACGGGAGAUUAAGUCAGUUGUGAAAGUUUGCGGCUCAACCGUAAAAUUGCAGUUGAUACUGGUUUCCUUGAGUGCAGUUGAGGCAGGCGGAAUUCGUGGUGUAGCGGUGAAAUGCUUAGAUAUCACGAAGAACCCCGAUUGCGAAGGCAGCUUGCUAAACUGUAACUGACGUUCAUGCUCGAAAGUGUGGGUAUCAAACAGGAUUAGAUACCCCUGUAGUCC